rnacentral:other from 18 species
GUUUUGGGACCAUUCAAAACAGCAUAGCUCUAAAAC